GUUCUCGUUUCGGAAUAUCAACAAUAUGCGCACCAGAAAAUAAAUAAAUGACAAUUGAAACAUUCUGCGAGCAAUUCAAACAACCAGACGUAGACAGUUCUGAAAAAAUGUAAUUUAUAAGGAAAUCACGUCACGUGCAAGCAAAGUGCA